UUGGUAAGGUCUCGUUGGUGACCAGCGGAGGGUCAUUACCGAGUUUACAACUCCCAAACCCCUGUGAACAUACCUAUAAUUUGCCUCGGCAGACUCAACGACGGUGCUCCGAGAAAUCGGGCGCCGCUCGCUGCCAGAGGAACCCCAAACUCUAUGUAUUCUUGUGGAUCUUCUGAGUAAAACAAACCAAAUAAAUCAAAACUUUCAACAACGGAUCUCUUGGUUCUGGCAUCGAUGAAGAACGCAGCGAAAUGCGAUAAGUAAUGUGAAUUGCAGAAUUCAGUGAAUCAUCGAAUCUUUGAACGCACAUUGCGCCCGCCAGUAUUCUGGCGGGCAUGCCUGUUCGAGCGUCAUUUCAACCCUCAAGCCCUAGGGCUUGGUGUUGGGGAUCGGCGAUAGUCGCCGUCCCCCAAAUCUAGUGGCGGUCUCGCUGUAGCCUCCAUUGCGUAGUAGCUAACACCUCGCAACUGGAACGCGGCGCGGCCAAGCCGUUAAACCCCCCAACUUCUGAAUGUUGACCUCGGAUCAGGUAGGAAUACCCGCUGAACUUAAGCAUAUCAA
rnacentral:rRNA from 1 species